rnacentral:lncRNA from 1 species
GGGAAACAUUACAUUCACUUUUAGUCUAAAUGUACUUUAACCAUUCUAAUCAUUUCCUGUGCUUUAUUUUUUGUAAUUCAUUUCAUUGUAUAGCUCAAAUUGUGGGCACCAUGAUUGGUUAAUAAAAUUAUCUUAUCUUAUCUUAUCUCUGUGGUUCAGGUUUUUAAACUUUCUUAAACUAUGAUGGGUUUGUACCAAACUUGAACAGAAGCUUGUUAAUGAUCAUGAGAUAGUAUCCAGAAGUAAAUUUUGUAAAAAAAAAGAAAUCCAUUUUUUCCGUAAUUUACUUCUAAAUGGACUUGAUUUUCUGCCUGGAAACAACACAUUCACUCUGUGGUUAACG